rnacentral:rRNA from 1 species
AUUGAACGCUGGCGGCAGGCCUAACACAUGCAAGUCGAGCGAACCUAGCUUGCUAGGUGAGCGGCGAACGGGUGAGUAACGCGUAGGAAUCUGCCUGGUAGUGGGGGACAACGUUCCGAAAGGAACGCUAAUACCGCAUACGCCCUACGGGGGAAAGCAGGGGAUCUUCGGACCUUGCGCUAUCAGAUGAGCCUGCGUCGGAUUAGCUAGUUGGUGGGGUAAAGGCCUACCAAGGCGACGAUCCGUAACUGGUCUGAGAGGAUGAUCAGUCACACCGGAACUGAGACACGGUCCGGACUCCUACGGGAGGCAGCAGUGGGGAAUAUUGGACAAUGGGGGCAACCCUGAUCCAGCCAUGCCGCGUGUGUGAAGAAGGCCUUCGGGUUGUAAAGCACUUUAGGUCGGGAGGAAGGUUCGCUGGCUAAUAUCCAGCGGAAUUGACGUUACCGACAGAAUAAGCACCGGCUAACUCCGUGCCAGCAGCCGCGGUAAUACGGAGGGUGCGAGCGUUAAUCGGAAUUACUGGGCGUAAAGCGCGCGUAGGCGGCUUGAUAAAUCGGGUGUGAAAUCCCUGGGCUUAACCUGGGAACUGCAUCCGACACUGUCAGGCUAGAGUGUGGGAGAGGGUGACGGAAUUCCCGGUGUAGCGGUGAAAUGCGUAGAUAUCGGGAGGAACAUCAGUGGCGAAGGCGGUUGCCUGGCCCAACACUGACGCUGAGGUGCGAAAGCGUGGGUAGCAAACAGGAUUAGAUACCCUGGUAGUCCACGCCGUAAACGAUGUCGACUAGCCGUUGGGAACCUUAGAGUUUCUUGUGGCGCAGCUAACGCGAUAAGUCGACCGCCUGGGGAGUACGGCCGCAAGGUUAAAACUCAAAUGAAUUGACGGGGGCCCGCACAAGCGGUGGAGCAUGUGGUUUAAUUCGAUGCAACGCGAAGAACCUUACCACCCCUUGACAUCCUGCGAACUUUCUAGAGAUAGAUUGGUGCCUUCGGGAGCGCAGAGACAGGUGCUGCAUGGCUGUCGUCAGCUCGUGUUGUGAAAUGUUGGGUUAAGUCCCGUAACGAGCGCAACCCUUGUCCUUAGUUGCCAGCGAGUAAUGUCGGGAACUCUAAGGAGACUGCCGGUGACAAACCGGAGGAAGGUGGGGACGACGUCAAGUCAUCAUGGCCCUUACGGGGUGGGCUACACACGUGCUACAAUGGCCGGUACAGACGGUUGCAAACCCGCGAGGGGGAGCCAAUCCGAGAAAACCGGUCGUAGUCCGGAUUGCAGUCUGCAACUCGACUGCAUGAAGUCGGAAUCGCUAGUAAUCGCGGAUCAGAAUGCCGCGGUGAAUACGUUCCCGGGCCUUGUACACACCGCC